UUUGUAAUUGCAUGGACAAUGCAUGACCAGUGAAAUCUUCAAACUUUCUCUUAUCUUCUCCUUGUGUUCCAGGGAAGAUAGAAAGUCAAAUGAGUUUGGAACAACAUGAGGCAGUGGGUCUGGCGAGGUGAGAGCCUGAGGAACUCAUCCAAACCCAAGUCCUUUAUAUGAGAUUGAGUCACCUCCCAUGCAAUAAACAGGAUGUAGGAGGUUGCAAUCCAGGCUGAUCAAAGAAAUGAAAGUCCUCAUGGUGUUGCGGUUACUUGCCUCAAUCCGGGUGGCGGAGGACAAGUCUCAGUUACCUCUGCUUCUGAGAUAGGCAAUCUUAUCACGUGGCUCGCCAUGCAUUACAUCGCAGAGACUCACAGCAUGUGGAGGCCCAUGCUACUCUCAACGAUCCAUGCACAACUUACCAUGCACCCCAUUGAGAGCGAGAACCGCGACCAUGCGGAGGUUACCUCAUGUGACUCUACCCUUCCUAGCAACCAGGUCAAUUUGGUUGCUUAGAAGACAUGGCUGGAGUCACUCAGCAACAUAUUUAUAAUUUCUAGAGUAUAACUAUCAAGUAAAAUAUCCUCCUUUUGUCAUAAAUACAUUUAUUUUGAUUUCCUUUACAACCUUGUUUCAGAAAUGUAUUUUCAAUAAAGUUAUCAUUGAUUCAUCC